UACGUAGGGGGCGAGCGUUGUCCGGAGUUACUGGGCGUAAAGCGCUUGUAGGCGGUCCACCAAGUUUGGGGUGACAGUUGCCGACUUAAUCGGCAAAGUGCCUCAAAGACUGGCGGACUUGAGGGCCACAGAGGGACAUGGAACUCCAGGUGUAGUGGUGAAAUGCGUAGAUAUCAGGAGGAACACCUGUGGUGUAGACAGCUUACUGGACCACUUCUGACGCUGAGACACGAAAGCGUGGGUAGCAAACAGG
rnacentral:rRNA from 1 species